GAUGAACGCUGGCGGCGUGCCUAAUACAUGCAAGUCGAGCGAACGGACGAGAAGCUUGCUUCUCUGAUGUUAGCGGCGGACGGGUGAGUAACACGUGGAUAACCUACCUAUAAGACUGGGAUAACUUCGGGAAACCGGAGCUAAUACCGGAUAAUAUUUUGAACCGCAUGGUUCAAGAGUGAAAGACGGUCUUGCUGUCACUUAUAGAUGGAUCCGCGCUGCAUUAGCUAGUUGGUAAGGUAACGGCUUACCAAGGCAACGAUGCAUAGCCGACCUGAGAGGGUGAUCGGCCACACUGGACCUGAGACACGGUCCAGACUCCUACGGGAGGCAGCAGUAGGGAAUCUUCCGCAAUGGGCGAAGGCCUGACGGAGCAACGCCGCGUGAGUGAUGAAGGUCUUCGGAUCGUAAACCUCUGUUAUUAGGGAAGAACAUAUGUGUAAGUAACUGUGCACAUAGUGACGGUACCUAAUCAGAAAGCCACGGCUAACUACGUG
rnacentral:rRNA from 1 species